rnacentral:tmRNA from 1 species
GGGGCUGACUUGGAUUUCGACAGAUUUCUUGUCGCACAGAUAGCAUGCCAAGUGCUGCUUGUAAAACAGCAACAAAAAUAACUGUAAACAACACAGAUUACGCUCCAGCUUACGCUAAAGCUGCGUGAGUUAAUCUCCUUUUGGAGCUGGACUGAUUAGAAUUUCUAGCGUUUUAAUCACUCCAUAACCUUAAGCUAGACGCUUUUAAAAGGUGGUUCGCCUUUUAAACUAAGAACAAGAACUCUUGAAACUACCUCAAGGUUUUAGAAAGUUGGACCAGAGCUAGUUUUAAGGCUAAAAAGCUAAUCAAUUUUCUAAGCAUUGUAGAAGUUUGUGUUUAGGGCAAGAUUUUUGGACUGGGGUUCGAUUCCCCACAGCUCCACCA